CCUACGGGAGGCUGCAGUGAGGAAUAUUGGUCAAUGGCCGUAAGGCUGAACCAGCCAAGUAGCGUGAGGGAAGACUGCUCUAUGGGUUGUCAACCUCUUUUAUGCGGGGAUCAAUGUGUCCACGUGUGGCUGUUUGUAGGUACCGCAUGAAUAAGGCCCGGCUAAUUCCGUGCCAGCAGCCGCGGUAAUACGGAAGGUCCGGGCGUUAUCCGGAUUUAUUGGGUUUAAAGGGGGCGUAGGCCGGUCUUUAAGCGUGCCGUGAAAUUUUGUGGCUCAACCAUGAUAGUGCGGCGCAAACUGGAGACCUUGAGUGCGCGGGAGGCAGGCGGAAGUCGUGGUGUAGCGGUGAAAUGCUUAGAUAUCACGAAGAACCCCGAGUGCGAAGGCAGCCUGCCGCAGCGUUACUGACGCUGAAGCUCGAAAGCGCGGGUAUCGAACAGGAUUAGAUACCCGAGUAGUC
rnacentral:rRNA from 1 species